UACGGAGGGUGCAAGCGUUAAUCGGAAUUACUGGGCGUAAAGCGUGCGCAGGCGGUUUGUUAAGUCUGUUGUGAAAUCCCCGAGCUCAACUUGGGAAUUGCAAUGGAUACUGGCAGGCUGGAGUAUGGUAGAGGAAGGUGGAAUUCCCGGUGUAGCGGUGGAAUGCGUAGAGAUCCGGAAGAACACCGGUGGCGAAGGCGGCCUGCUGGGCAGUUUAGCUGACACUGAGGCGCGACAGCGUGGGGAGCAAACAGG
rnacentral:rRNA from 1 species